rnacentral:tRNA from 2 species
CACCUGCUGGGACGGGUACAAGACCACCUCCUGAGUGGUCAGCGUGAGCGGCACACACCCCGGUUCGAGUCCGGGGCACGCAC